rnacentral:rRNA from 1 species
CAGUCGCCGCGGGAAUACGAAGGGUGCAAGCGUUAAUCGGAAUUACUGGGCGUAAAGCGUGCGUAGGCGGUGAGUUAAGUCUGCUGUGAAAUCCCCGGGCUCAACCUGGGAAUGGCAGUGGAUACUGGCUCGCUAGAGUGUGUCAGAGGAUGGUGGAAUUCCCGGUGUAGCGGUGAAAUGCGUAGAGAUCGGGAGGAACAUCAGUGGCGAAGGCGGCCAUCUGGGACAACACUGACGCUGAGGCACGAAAGCGUGGGGAGCAAACAGGAUUAGAUACCCGCGUAGUCCCUGUCUCUUAUAC